rnacentral:rRNA from 1 species
UACGUAGGUGGCAAGCGUUGUCCGGAUUUACUGGGCGUAAAGGGCGUGCAGGCGGUUUGUUAAGUGCAGGGUGAAAGCUCCCGGCUCAACUGGGACGAGGUCCUUGCAUACUGGCGAACUCGAGGGAGGCAGAGGAAAGUGGAAUUCCCGGUGUAGUGGUGAUAUGCGUAGAUAUCGGGAGAACACCUGUGGCGAAGGCGGCUUCUGGGCCUUACCUGACGCUGAGACGCGAAAGCGUGGGGAGCGAACCGG